GUCGAGGAUCUUCCGCAAUGGGCGAAAGCCUGACGGAGCGAUGCCGCGUGAGGGAUGAAGGCCUUCGGGUUGUAAACCUCUGUCACCCGGGACGAAACCAAUGACGGUACCGGGAGAGGAAGCCACGGCUAACUACGUGCCAGCAGCCGCGGUAAUACGUAGGUGGCGAGCGUUAUUCGGAUUCACUGGGCGUAAAGGGUCCGUAGGGGGUUUGCCAAGUCUGGUGUGAAAGCCCGCCGCUCAACGGCGGAAUGGCACUGGAGACUGACGAACUCGAGUUCAUGAUGGGAGAGCGGAAUUCCUGGUGUAGCGGUGGAAUGCGUAGAUAUCAGGAGGAACACCCGCGGCGAAGGCGGCUCUCUGGCGUGAAACUGACCCUGAAGGACGAAAGCGUGGGUAGCAAACAGGAUUAGAUACCCUGGUAGUCC
rnacentral:rRNA from 1 species